GGUUUUGUGGCUCAGAGGUAGAGCUCUCGCCUAGCAUGUGUGAGGCAGUGGAUUCAAUCCUCAGCACCA
rnacentral:tRNA from 1 species